CUCAGUUCGGACUGCAGCUGCAACUCGACUGCACGAAGCUGGAAUCGCUAGUAAUCGCGGAUCAGCACGCCGCGGUGAAUACGUUCCCGGGCCUUGUACACACCGCCCGUCACACCAUGGAAGUCUGCAAUGCCCGAAGCCGGUGGCCUAACCACUUAUGUGGAAGGAGCCGUCUAAGGCAGGGCAGAUGACUGGGGUGAAGUCGUAACAAGGUAGC
rnacentral:rRNA from 1 species